rnacentral:rRNA from 1 species
GACGAACUGUCCUACCGUUGUUCGGAAUCACUGGGCUUAAAGGGCGCGUAGGCGGUCCGACAAGUCAGGGGUGAAAUCCUGCAGCUUAACUGUAGAAGUGCCUUUGAUACUGUCGGUCUUGAGGGAAAUAGGGGUGUGCGGAACUUCCAGUGGAGCGGUGAAAUGCGUUGAUAUUGGAAGGAACGCCGGAGGCGAAAGCGGCGCACUGGAUUUCGUCUGACGCUGAGGCGCGAAAGCUAGGGGAGCAAACGGG